AUUGAACGCUGGCGGCAUGCUUAACACAUGCGAGUCGAACGCGAACGGGCUUCGGCCCAAGUAGAGUGGCGGACGGGUGAGUAAUGCGUGGGAAUCUACCCUCGAACGGGGGACAACCCGGGGAAACCCGGGCUAAUACCGCAUACGUCCUACGGGAGAAAGCGGGCCUCUACACUAUGCUCGCACUCGAGGAUGAGCCCACGUCCGAUUAGCUAGUUGGUAGGGUAACGGCCUACCAAGGCCACGAUCGGUAGCUGGUCUGAGAGGAUGAUCAGCCACACUGGACUGAGACACGGCCCAGACUCCUACGGGAGGCAGCAGUGGGGAAUAUUGGACAAUGGGCGCAAGCCUGAUCCAGCAAUGCCGCGUGUGUGAAGAAGGCCUGCGGGUUGUAAAGCACUUUCAGUGGGGGAAGAACGGAUACGGGCCAAUACCCCGCAUCACUGACGUUACCCACAGAAGAAGCACCGGCUAACUCCGUGCCAGCAGCCGCGGUAAU
rnacentral:rRNA from 1 species